UUCCGGUUGAUCCCGCCGGACCCCACUGCUAUCGAGGUGGGACUUAGCCAUGCUAGUCGAACGAACAGAACUAUGUCUGUAAGUGGCAUACUGCUCAGUAACACGUAGCUAACCUACCCUUAGGACGUCGAUAACCCCGAGAAAUUGGGGCUAAUAGGCGAUAGAUGUAUUGUCCUGGAAUGGUAAUAUGUCCAAAGGUAUCCCAUACAUGUUUGGUAUACGCCUAAGGAUGGGGCUGCGGCCGAUCAGGCUGUUGGUGAGGUAAUGGCUCACCAAACCUUUGACCGGUAUGGGCCAUGAGAGUGGUAGCCCAGAGAUGGACACUGAGACAAGGGUCCAGGCCCUACGGGGCGCAGCAGGCGCGAAACCUCCUCAAUGCACUAACGUGCGAAGGGGUUACCUCGAGUGCCACCUGAAGAAGGUGGCUUUUCCUUGGUCUAAAAAGCCUAGGGAAUAAGAGGGGGGCAAGACUGGUGUCAGCCGCCGCGGUAACACCAGCCCCUCGAGUGGUGGGGAUGAUUAUUUGGCCUAAAGCGUCCGUAGCCGGCCGGGUAAGUUUCCCGUUAAAUCCAGCGUCUCAAGCGUUGGACUGCGGGAAAUACUGCCUGGCUAGAGAGUGGGAGAGGUCAGCGGUAUUCUGGGGGUAGGGGCGAAAUCCUUUGAUCCCCGGAGGACCACCAGUGGCGAAGGCUGCUGACUAGAACACGUCUGACGGUCAGGGACGAAAGCUGGGGUAGCGAACCGGAUUAGAUACCCGGGUAGUCCCAGCCGUAAACGAUGCAUGCUAGGUG
rnacentral:rRNA from 1 species